CCACAGCUCACGGCAAUGCUGGAUGCUUACCCCACUGAGUGAGGCCAGGGAUCGAACCCCACAUCCCCAUGGAUCCUAAUCGGGUUUAGUUAACCACUGAGCCACAAAGGGAACUCCGAGUUGCGGCCUUCUGGAGAAGUCACGCAAACUGAAACAUUUAAUGCAAAGAGCUUACUUUCAGAAGUCUUAAGAAUGCAACUAGCGAAGCUCCAAGGGACUUCCCGUCAUGCUCAGCAGUAACAAACUCGAUCUGUGUCUAUGAGGACUCGGGGUUCGAUCCCUGGCCUCGCUCAGUGGGUUAAGGAUCAGGUGUAGCCGUGAGCUGCAGCGUAGGUGAAAGCCGAGGCUCAGAUCUGGUGUUGUGUUAGGCUGUGGUGUAGACCAGCAGCUGUAGAUCUGAUUUGACCCCUCACCUGGGAACCUCCACAUCCCAGCGGCUGCUUUUUAGGCUCCAGGCCAGGAGCUUCCUACCACCUGGAGCGAGGAAGGCCAGAGGGAGAGAGGUUGACUUCCUUCCUAAGCUGUUAAGCCCUGACUGCCUACCCCAGAGCCUGCAGAGUUGCCUCGCUAAUCCAUCAGCCCUGCUGGGUUUGGGCUCCAACCUCCACGGCCCAGCAAACCCGGGCCCAGGAAUGUGCUAAUCAGCUGCCCGGGCAAAAGGGGAAAGGUGUCAGUGACUCACUCCCUCCCGGGAGCACAUGACAGCCCUGGGCUCUGCACAGCCGCCGGCAGGGUCACCCCUCACGGCUGUGCCUCCCGACAGCCCUGCUCUCAGCCCACCCUGGCUUCCCUCCUCCGGAAACCCUGUGUUCCCCGGCGAAUCAGAGACAGAGCCAGGACUCCCCAGCGAGCGCCCGCAGAGCCAGCUCAGAUCUGGAGCAGAAUAGCCAGAAGCCAGCCCCCACCAGGCCACCUGGGCUCAGGGAAGGGACCCCAGCCGUGGGCUGUGCGGAGGCUUGGCUGGGGGUUGCCCGGGGUACCAACCAACCCCAGGACCUUCCUGGAUGCCGGCUGUAUACCACGUGCCAGCCUCACCUGUGGCAUGUGACCGUCCCAGGCCAGGGAUCGAACCUGUGCACCGCAGCGACUCCACCAGAUCCUUAACCUGCCGAACCAACCAGGAACUCCUGAGAUUACACUGUACGAAUUAAGAGUCCUGCUCUUUUAACACCAGAUUUCCUCCUGUGAAAGUCUGGUGAUGAGCACCGCACUUCUGAAGUCUGGAGACUCCUCUUCUGAGCCUGCGGCGGUUCCAGGCUCCGGUGGGGAGGCACGACUCUGGCAGGCCCAGCUGCGUGUCCUGACACAGAGUCCACCCUGGGGCCGCUGGCCGCCCCCACCCCAGGUGAGCCAGCUGAUGGCACUCGGCCAGGAGGCACCCUCGCCCCGGCCACACACUCGGAAUCCCUGGGACCGGUGCACACCCCCGCCACGUUCCAAGAAGGAUGUGUCUGCACAAGAGCAGCCCCCACCAAGCCCACCUCCUCUCCCCUAGAAAGCUGCAAUUCCAGCCCGACUUCCCAGCGCCUGGAGCUCACAAAGCAGAGGCAACAACAGGCAGAAUAUUUCAAUUUUAUUUGGCCAAUGUGUCCAAUUCCAACAUCGGGGUAGAAACGCCUCAAGAGCGUGCAGUUCAGCUCAGGUAGCCUCGGCCGCCUCCCAGCCUGAGACAGAAGGUCAGCGUUCCGCUGGUGCAGGCCUCAGGCCACCUGGAGGUCACUGAGCCAUGAAGACC